rnacentral:rRNA from 1 species
AGCUCCAAUAGCGUAUAUUAAAGUUGUUGCAGUUAAAAAGCUCGUAGUUGAAUUUCGGGUCCCCGCGCUCGGCGCUUCAUUGUGCCGUCGUGGUGUCCCUCCUCGCCGUCAGGCGUCCUUUACUGUGAAAAAAUUAGAGUGUUCAAAGCAGGCAAUCGCUUGAAUACAUUAGCAUGGAAUAAUAAGAUAGGAUCUUGUCUAUUUUGUUGGUUGCGGACAAUGAUAAUGAUUAAUAGGGAUAGUUGGGGGUGUCCGUAUUGAGCUGUCAGAGGUGAAAUUCUUGGAUUUGCUCAAGACGAACUACUGCGAAAGCAUUCACCAAGGAUGUUUUCA